UACGUAGGGGGCUAGCGUUGUCCGGAAUCAUUGGGCGUAAAGAGCUCGUAGGCGGCCACUCAAGUCGAAUGUGAAACCUCGAGGCUUAACCUCGAGCCUGCAUUCGAUACUGGGCGGCUAGAGUCUGGUAGGGGGAUCUGGAAUUCCUGGUGUAGCGGUGGAAUGCGCAGAUAUCAGGAGGAACACCGGUGGCGAAGGCGGGAUCCUGGGCCAGUACUGACGCUGAGGAGCGAAAGCGUGGGGAGCAAACAGG
rnacentral:rRNA from 1 species